CCUGAGCCAAGCCUUUGGUUAAGAGCAAUUUAGAGCUAGGUGCAGGGGUACACAUCUGUAAUCCCAGUAGCUAGGGAGGAUAAGGCAGGAGGAUCGCAAAUUCAAAGCCAGCUUCAGCAACUUAGCAAGACCCUAAAGCAAUUUAGCCAGACCCUGUCUUAAAAUUUAAAAAUGGGCUGGGGAUGUGGUUCAGUGGUUAAGUGCUCCUGGAUUCAAUCCUGAUACCAAAAAAAAAAAAAAAUAGCCAUUUAUAAUAUGUAGAAAUUAUAGAAAACAUGAGUCUGUGAUCCAGUAGGGGGCAAUUAUCAUGUUGUCUUCUAAAUACAGAUAUGGAAGAGCCACUCCAGUAUGUCUUCAGUAAGUGUAUCUGUAUGGUUGUAUACAUGUGCAGAGACACAUACAUGAAAUUACUCAUUCAUGUGUGUUUUUUAAAAUAUGGUUUUUGUAUCAUGUUGUCUUAAUCUAAACAAUGCCUUGCUUCUCUCUACUACCUAGAGCUUCCUACUUCCUGUGUUCUUUAUACCUUUUUAUGAUUGUAAUCUCUAGAACAUGCACAUUACACCAAGUGUUAGAUAUAGUUCAGUGAAUGGAAGUGAAAGAAAAGAGAAGGAGAAAUUUGCCCCAUUUUAUAGUCUAUUAGUAUGAGAACAUUUACUGAGUAAUAUAUUGUCCAUUUUCUAUGGGCAAAUCUUCCGAACAUUUUUGAGGCCUUCUAGGGGAGAGACUGUGUAUCCACACCUUCUCUAAUCAUGCCCAACAUGAUUUAUUAUAUAAGGUAGGAAUCCUAAUUUUCUUGAUUGUGUGUGUAUGGUAUGCUUGUGUGUUCUGAUUACAGAACAGAGGGUUACUCCUGCUGUCUCAAGAAAAAAGUUGUGUGUAGGGGGGUUAUUGUAGACUGACAACCAGAGCUGCGGGGGAUGGGGGAUAUCAGAAUUUGAGCAGUUGUGAGAUCCCGCUCUUGCUGGGCAUGGUGGCACACACCUGUAAUCCCAGUGACUCCGGAGACUGAUGCUGGAGGUUCUCAAGUUCAAAGCCAGCCUCACCAAGAACUGGUUUGGGGAUGUAGCUCAGUGGCUGAGUGCCCCUGAAUUCAAUCCCUAGUACCCACAAAACAAAAACAGAAAUGAUCCUGCUCUUUUGUCUCUCUGUCCAAAGUAUUCCAUGACAAAUUUUCUCAUCUCUGCAUAUUUGUUCUUCUUUCUUUUGAUACUCACUGAUCCAUUCCCUCCAUAUUCUCCAACUUAAAUUCUGAUUGGCUUAGCUAAUUUCUACUACUCUUAUUGAACAGCAUCAAUUUUUGUCAGGCUGCCUCAUGGAUUGAUACCCAGUCUAUGGUCAGACUCCCUUAGGUCAAAUGCAUAUUUCCAUUUAAUUAGUGACCCCUUGUUCCUGAAAGACUGCUACUUUGAAGGAUGGAUGGGGUUGGGGGCUGCUGAAAACAAUGUAGUUAGAGGGAGCAAUAAAUGAAGCAAGAACAUUACAAUUCACAACAGAAUAUCCCUGAAAUAGAGUGCUAGUAUGCUGCAGAAAAGAAUUACUAAGGAGCUGGGAUGUAGCUCAGUGGUAGAGAGUUUGCCUAGUCCUGAGUUCAAUUCCUGGCACUGGGGGAAAAAAUAAAUAAAAAGUGUCACCAACUGUUGGAUGAUUGUUAUAUGCUAAGUUUGUUCCAAGCCUUUCAUACACACUAACUCACUUAGCAAAUAAAAAUACAGAAGGACAUACUUAAUUGAAGAAAUGAUUUGUUGUUUAUCUGAAAUUCAAAUUUAACUUAGGGCAUAUUGUAUUUUAUCUAGCAACCCCAUUUAUCCCUAUUUUACAGAUAAGGAUACUGAAGCACAAAGAGACAACUUGCCCAAGGACAUGCAUCAAGGAAGUGACAAGGCCACUUCCUAAGCUCUUUUCCACUGUACUAUAUUGCUGCUUUGAAGUCUAUAGUAAUGGCAGAACACACUCACACAUACACAUACCCUAAUUUUUUU
rnacentral:lncRNA from 1 species